rnacentral:rRNA from 1 species
GACGAACGCUGGCGGCGUGCUUAACACAUGCAAGUCGAACGGUGAAGGGGAGCUUGCUCCCCGGAUCAAUGGCGAACGGGUGAGUAACACGUGGGCAACCUGCCCCAGACUUCGGGAUAACGCUUCGAAAGAGGUGCUAAUACCGGAUACGGACUCCUUGGGCAUCCUUGGGGUUGGAAAGUUUUUCGGUCUGGGAUGGGCCCGCGGCCUAUCAGCUUGUUGGUGAGGUAACGGCUCACCAAGGCGACGACGGGUAGCCGGCCUGAGAGGGCGACCGGCCACACUGGGACUGAGACACGGCCCAGACUCCUACGGGAGGCAGCAGUGGGGAAUAUUGCGCAAUGGGCGAAAGCCUGACGCAGCAACGCCGCGUGAGGGAUGACGGCCUUCGGGUUGUAAACCUCUUUCAGCAGGGAAGAAGCGAAAGUGACGGUACCUGCAGAAGAAGCACCGGCUAACUACGUGCCAGCAGCCGCCGUAAAAC